rnacentral:piRNA from 1 species
UGAGUGGUAUCUGUGGUCUCGCUGU